rnacentral:rRNA from 1 species
UACGUAGGAGGCAAGCGUUGUUCGGAAUUAUUGGGCGUAAAGCGCUCGUAGGCGGGACUGGAAGUCCGUGUUGAAAGACCUCGGCUCAACUGAGGGACCGGCUCGGAUACUCUAGUUCUUGAGGCAAUCAGAGGGUGAUGGAAUUCCCGGUGUAGCGGUGAAAUGCGUAGAGAUCGGAAAGAACACCAACGGCGAAAGCACUCUGCUGGGCCGACACUGACACUGAGAGACGAAAGCUAGGGGGAGCGAAUGGG